rnacentral:rRNA from 1 species
UGGGGAAUCUUGCGCAAUGGGCGAAAGCCUGACGCAGCAACGCCGCGUGGGGGAUGAAGGCCUUCGGGUUGUAAACCCCUUUCAGCAGGAACGAAUCUGACGGUACCUGCAGAAGAAGGUCCGGCCAACUACGUGCCAGCAGCCGCGGUAACACGUAGGGACCAAGCGUUGUCCGGAUUUAUUGGGCGUAAAGCGCUCGUAGGCGGUUUGGUAAGUCGGGUGUGAAACCUCCAGGCUCAACCUGGUGACGCCACCCGAUACUGCCAUGACUUGAGUUCGGUAGGGGAGCGGGGAAUUCCUGGUGUAGCGGUGAAAUGCGCAGAUAUCAGGAGGAACACCGGUGGCGAAGGCGCCGCUCUGGGCCGAAACUGACGCUGAGGAGCGAAAGCGUGGGGAGCAAACAG